GACAGAGGUCCCAAGCGUUAGGCGGAAUCACUGGGCUUAAAGCGUGUGUAGGCGGAUUUGUAAGUACCUUGUGAAAUCCCACGGCUCAACCGUGGAACUGCUUGGUAUACUGCUUAUCUUGGGCCAUCUAGGGGCUAGCGGAACAAACGGUGGAGCGGUGAAAUGCGUAGAUAUCGUUUGGAACGCCAAUGGUGAAAACAGCUAGCUGGGGAUGUGCCGACGCUGAGGCGCGACAGCGUGGGGAGCAAACAGG
rnacentral:rRNA from 1 species